rnacentral:sRNA from 1 species
UUAUUCUUCUUUUACAGUUGACAUUUUGCUAAAGGCUGUGGGUGAUACUCCUAUUAUGAAAACAAAGAAGUGGGCAGUAGAGCGAACACGAACCAUCCAAGGACUCAUUGACUUCAUCAAAAAGUUUCUUAAACUUGUGGCCUCAGAACAGUUGUUUAUUUAUGUGAAUCAGUCCUUUGCUCCUUCCCCAGACCAAGAAGUUGGAACUCUCUAUGAGUGUUUUGGCAGUGAUGGUAAACUGGUUUUACAUUACUGCAAGUCUCAGGCAUGGGGAUGAACCACAAAGAAAAUCAUCUUGCUACAUAAAAUGGAUUUUCACAGAAGAGACAGCUCUGAAAAGUUUUGAUGCUUGUGGCAAGAGACUUAACAGACGUGAUCUAUUCAGUAUGUGUCUACUCUAUGUUUAUGCAUAAGAAAACAUCCAUAGCAUGAAUGGACUCAGAAAAAUGUGAUUUGUAUUAAUAUACCAGUCAUCAUAAAAGAUGGUCAUUAUAGUACACCCAUUGCUCCUACUUGUUACUAUUAUUGCUGCAGAUCUGCCUCCAAGGUUGAAAAGGAGACUAA